AUUCUUCUAAUUCGCAGCCGGUCCCAAGCCCGGAAAAAGGAGGAGGGUUAAUUGUCUUUCAGAAGUCAGAUCCUUCAUAAAUAUGAACCAUAUAAAACCUGUAAUAGUUGUGGUUCUCUGUCUCACAUACUCUCUCACUCUCUUUCUUGUAGGUGUGCUUGCGCGUACAUAUUCCCAUUGUGUAGAGUUUUUCUCUUGUCAGCAUAUCCACUUCUUUUUCUUUCAAAAUGUCCUUUUAUCCUAACAUCUGUUCAAAAUUAUAACAUUUACUUGGCUUCUGCUUGUGUACAAUAAUGUUUGCUAUAACUGCUCAUGACAUGUUUUUGAUUGCCUUUUAUAUUGACUGCAUAUGUCAUGUUAUGGUUGUUCAAUUCUGGAAACAUCCGAAAAUUUCAACUUCAGUAGAGUUUUGAGAGUUGUGACUGUGAAGAAGCCUUUUAUUCUUUUAAUCAUUGACAAAGUCAUUUGAUAUAGAAUGUGACAUGAUGAUUCUCUUUCAAAUAUGAAGUAGUCUACAUAAGAAGAAGAAUAUCCCCCAAACAUCAUUAUGAAAAAAGUCAACACACAGCAUGUUUCUGUUAUACUGGUGAAUAUUUGGAGCAUGCUUUUGGUGAUCUUUCCUUUCUUGUGUCGAUUGAUCUAAGCCUCAACAAUUUCCAUGGUGAACUUCCAUCAGAAUUUACGAAGAUUGGGAGAGGUUGAUCUUAGUUACAACAACUUCACUGGAGAAAUUCCAAUAGGACUAGCUACUCUUCCGCGUUUGAAAGGGUUGAGUUUUGGAUUCGAUGAAUCACUUAAUGGCUCCAACGUGCUUUCCAUAUUGAGCAUCUUAACACUAGAAUAUUUGGAUCUUGGAAAUGCUGGUUUAACUGGUGAUAUCCCUUCUGAUUUAUGUCAUCACGUUCCCAGAUUGCAAGCUCUUGGACUUGACUCCAAUGUGUUAAGUGGAUGGAUACCAAGAACUAUAUCUAAUUGCUCGGAACGUCCAACUCCUAUGGAAAAUAACUUUGAGAACUAGGUAACUUACAGCUGCUGGAAGAAUUACAUCUAUCAGAAAACAACUUACAAGGUAUGUGUUUACCAUUUUUCUACGGAGUUUUAACUUGGAAAUUUGAGAAAUUUAUCUACUUUGGUUCUGGAUAGUAAUGACUUUACUGGAACUGUCCCGACAACGAUAAUUUCUUUGAAAAAUCUUCAGAGGCUUUCACUUGGUAGAAACAGAAUAAGUGGUUCUUUCACUUGGGAGGACUAAAUUGAUUUAACUAUCUCUGGCUCAUAACAGUUGUCAAGGAUCUAUUCCUGAGACAUUUGGGGAACUGAUAGAGUUAAACACAUUGGAUCUUUUGUAUAGCAAUAUGUCUGGUGUGAUUCCAAAGUCAUUAGAGGCACUUAAGAAGCUAGUCUUCUUUAAUGUCUCAUUCAACAGGUUACACGGGGAAAUUUCGUUUGGAAGACCUUAUAUUAAUCUCUCUUACCAAUCUUUUAUGUCGAAUGAAGGAUUGUGUGGUAACCCUCAAAAGCAUGUCCCGGCUUGUCCUUCUAAUUCAAAGAAUCAGUCGUAAGUCCAAGAAAAGAAGACUGAUAUGGAUUAUAGUUGCGUCUUCUGUUAUCUCUGUGAUAGGGACUGCCUCAGUAAUAGUUUUCGUGUUGAUGAGACGCCGAGGUAAAACAAUCAAUGCUGAAGAGGAGUGGUCACCUGAGGUAUCACCACAAUGAAUUUCUUACUAUGAACUUCAAAGAGCAACUCAGGGCUUUGAUGUAAAUAAUUUGCUAGGUAGUGGAUGGUUCUGUUUACAAAGGGACAUUAACAGAUGGGAUGACUGUAGCUGUCAAAGUUUUCAAUGUGCAGAUGGAAGGCACAUUUCAAACCUUUAACAGAGAAUGUGAAAUCUUUCGAAAUCUUCGUCACAGAAAUCUCACCAAAAUCAUUAGCAGCUGUUGUAACUUGGAUUUUAAAGCAUUGAUACUUGAGUACAUGCCAAACAAGAGCUUAAACAAGUUGCUGUAUUCUCGAGAUUACUGUUUAACUAUAAUGCAGAAAUUGAAUAUCGUGUUCGACGUUGCAUCUGCUUUGGAAUUUCUCCAUCAUGGUUACUCAGUUCCGGUUAUUCGCUGUGAUCUUAAGCCUAGCAACGUGUUACUAAGGAUGAACAUGACUGAUGUUGUAGCAGCAUUGGCAAAGAUCAAACAGAAGCUUUCUUCCUGUUAUUGAACUACAUAAUGACAUGACAUCAGCAGAACUCCUGGGAUUUGAUCACUACAUUCCCCCUUUUUGCAAGUGCAGAAGGUAGUCAGAUCUUGGAAGGUGUAAAUUAUGCAUCUGGUUCAGCUGGAAUUUGCAAUGACAGCGGAAGUCAUCUUGUAAUUCAACUAGACAUCACUAAAAUUUUCGUAUCUGCUGGAAGAGCAUGCGGCUGAAGAUCCUUUCUGUUGGAAGACUGCUGGGGUGAUGAUUUCAAGAACCUCUGCAUUAAGACCAAGGAAUGAGGUUGUCCAGCCACAAACUCUCUGAUUUGAGAUCUUGAAGUCCCAGAUAGAAACCAACUAGGAUCUUGUAGCUGAUCUUAAUACCAAUUUUCCAGACGCGAACUUCACAUUUAUAAAUAUAUACAGCAUUUCAUCAUUCCUCGGUAUGUACUCAAAUAACAUCAUUUUGUGACUUGUAACAUGAUUGGAUUGGCUAUUUUUGCUCGUCUUAUUUCAGAGCCCAUUAAUGUGUUGAAUCGUCCAUGCUGUAAAGUUUUGGAAACGAUGCCUGAAGGACAAUGUGUUCCUGGAGAAACUCCAUGCUUGCGUAGGAAGAAUUUAUCUUUUCUAUGAUAAUUUUCAUCCAACAGAGAGGCCGAGUAAAGUUCAUGUGUUUCACCAUUUGAUUGAUUACGUUUAAUAAGUUUUACUUAUGAUCUUCCCAUUUAGGGAGUUUCGGAUUUUGUUUCUUAGAUUGAUUUAUUAAUUGUACACCUACAAUAUAUUUAGCUCUUAGUCUUGGAAUAAUACAUUCAAUGAGGAAAUUAUUGUCUCUACAUUUUACAUUUCCUAAGCCAUGAAUGACUAGAAACAGCUCGAGCCUAAUGACAACAACUUUACCAAUUACGUUAAUACUCUCCUUCUUAAGCUAGAGUCAAAGGAUUAAAAGGCACCAUUGUUUGUUAAAAGGGUCAUGCGUAUUAUAAAGAAAGUUUGUUCCUCUCAUCCUCUUCUUCUAUUUGUGUGAUUUCUGGUCUUCAUCCUCCCCUGUUAUCUUUUCGAUUUCCUUUUACGACUGAUAUUAUUUUCUUGUAGUUGUAAUUUGUGUUCUCAGUAUUAUAAUACAUAUCAUUGUGGUGUUGGUAAUUUGAGUUGGUACAUGUUUCUUUCUUGAUCUUCAUCCUCCCCUGCUCAUAUUGAUCUUUGAAUGAGAUCUUUUUGAAGUGAAAAUAUAAGCAAAUUUAUGUUAUAACAUAUUUCUUGGAGUAAAUUUGAAAGAUUUUGAGAAAUGGAGAGCCUUAAUUAAAAAUACAAGUAAAAAAUCCUCAGCUUUUCAGGGUCGACCUAUUUUUGGGUUCAAAACCAAUCACUUGAACUUGACUGCAACUAGUAGAAUUUUUUUUUAUUCCUUUGCUCUUCUAAUUUCUAUUCGUUAUCGCUAACUGCAUGAAGCAGCAAGUAUUGAUCACUAAUUAUCGUAUUCUGUGUAUCUUGAGAAAUGAGAUUAUUUUUGUUCGGAGAUCAUCUCCUCUCUUAAGGAAUGCUCCGAUUUAUUUUUCCAGUUACAUCUUUAAACAGAGUAUCGUUUUUCUAUUUUUUCCUAUCUUCUUUUGAGUAAUGCUAAUUUUUCUGGACCUGUUCCUUUCAGUCAGGGAUGCAACAACCCGAAUCUGAAAAGUUAAUCAUGUGGCACUUAUAUACUUUGAAUGGCAGAGCCUUGAAACAACUAGUUAAGGAAACUGGAUACCGCAGCAACAGAGAUGUUAAUGGUCAAAUAGCAAAAUUACAAAAAACACUGAUGAGUAAAAACAGUUGAAGAUUAUAAUGUAAAUGCUAAAAGAAAUGGUCUUAAUAAAAACACUUGAAGAUUAUGAUGAAUAAGCUAAAACCUGGUCAAAAUCUAUGAGUAACCACCUCUAGUAGUCUUAGCAUGGUGUUAAGGGAAUAGUAAGAGGACUGAUGAGUAAGUCUUUUACAUGCAAGGACUACGUAUUGUUAUUUAUACACGAGAGCAUGUUUUCCUUUCUAUAUGCUGGUAAAUACUAUGGCUACUUUAUAAUCACUUCUCUAGCAUAACUUCUCAUUUUUCUGGAAGUCGUAUUGGAUAUCGGCACUUUAAGGUAUGGUUACUUCUUUUAUCACUAAAGUAUUGGUUCUGCAAAUGGAGAAUUCUCAAGGCUUCAGGAAAAGUUUACCACACUAAAAAGUAACCUUUUAGAACGGAACUACUACUGCCAAAUGAAUUCUUCUGAUUCCAGCAAAAAAUGAUUUUACCUCUCAUCUGUUUUUUUUCAUCAUAGCAUGAAUGUUUUUCUUGAUUCAUGGACUAAAUAAUGCAGGUGAUUCAACAUAGAAUACUACCACUACCUUUCAUUGCAAAAGAAGAUUUCUUUACUUUCAACAUUAAGUCAACUGCCAACAACUCUUGCUUUAUCUGAAAGGUUUGGGUAAAUCUCAACUUGGAAUCUGUCUGUUUUGAGGUUCCAGUUACUUUCCUCACUGGGGUAAUGCAAGUCAUAAUCUUGGAGGAUGAGUAUAGGAGUAUAUAUUUAGGUGCAAACAAAUGCAUUCGCCUAUUCUGUUAUUCUAUGUUUUGCACUUGUAGCACACUAUUACUAGCAAGUUGCUGUCAUCUAAUGCUUGCUUCAGUUUCAACCUUAAUUUUAAGGAGCUGGGUAAGCCUUUGAUCUCCUAAUGAGUACUUGAAUAGGAUCUUCUAACAUUUUUGGCGCUUGAUAUCAAGAAAACUAGAUUAUCUAGCUAGUUGUCAAAAAUAAAUAAAUAAAUAAAGAACCUCUAGCUAAGGUAGGAUCCUUUUUGUAUUGCCAAGUUAGAAUCUCCUUUGUAUUCGACAAAUCAAUGUCAUUAAAUGGAAUUGCUGUGUGUUCAAAUGAAUGACAUUGUGAGUAUGUUGAGUGUUUCUGUGCCUGUUUAGAAUUCUAAAGUGCAGAGGUGAAAGUCUUCUUUUUAAUUUUUUUCUUACCAUGUAUGCUGCAUAUACAUGCUUUGUGCUGUCUAUCUUGAGACAUGCUGCUAAACUUGAAUUUCUGGGUUCAAGGAAGAACCACGGAAAGGUUUGGUUGAUAUGUGUAUGUGUGUGUACGCAUAUAUAAUGUCACAGAAAUUCUGAUCUGCUAGUUCUAAGCAUUUCUGUUCUCCUUUCACAUACAAGGCUUACAUAUACUCGGCAAUUCAACUAGACAUCACUAAGAUUUUCAUAUCUGCUGGAAGAGCAUGCGGCUGAAGUUCCUUUCUGUUGGAAGAUUGCUGGGAUGAUGAUUUCAAGAACCUCUGCAUGAAGUAUGAAAAAGAGGUAAAAAUGAGUGUGAAUUAAAUGAUCCUUGUCAUCAAUAAGUUACCAAGGAAUGAAGGUUGUCCAGGCACAAACUCUCUGAAGUCCCACCAACUAGGAUCCCUUACAUGUUUUGUUUCAGGGUAGUUGUAAUGAAAAAGACAACCAGCUACUGUGAAGUCUUCCAAUUGGAUUAUAUCCAAUGUUGCUAUAAGCUAGUGAGUGGCAUUUAUAAAGCGUGGCUGUUAAAAAUACAUAUUUAACGGUAAUUAAAUUAUUGCUGGUACACUGUACAGGCUGCCACCCAUGUGCCUAUAUCAAGAUUCCUUUCUCCUUUUAUAAAA